rnacentral:tRNA from 1 species
AUAGGUAUGAUGAAAUUGGUAGACAUGCUAGAUUUAGAAUUUAGUAACUUAAAUUGUUGUGAGGGUUCGAAUCCCUCUACCUAUA